AUUGAACGCUGGCGGCAUGCCUAACACAUGCAAGUCGAACGGGGGUAGCAAUACCCUAGUGUCGGACAGGUGAGGAAUACGUAGGAUUUUGCCCUUAAGUGGGGGAUAAGCCGGGGAAACCCGGACUAAUACCGCAUGAUCUCGUGAGAGCAAAGCAGGGGACCGCAGGGCCUUGCGCUGUUGGAGAAGCCUACGUCGGAUUGGAGAGUUGGUGGGGUAAUGGCCCACCAAGGCUUCGUUCCGUAACUGGUCUAGGAGUAUGAUCAGUCACACCGGAACUGAGAAACGGUCCGGAAUCCUAAGGGAGGAAGCAGUGGGGAAUAUUGGACAAUGGGAGAAAGCCUGAUCCAGAAAUGCCGCGUGUGUGAAGAAGGCCUUCGGGUUGUAAAGCACUUUAGGCUGGAAAGAAAAAGCUUUGGCUAAUAUCCAAAGCCUUGACGGUACCAGCAGAAUAAGCACCGGCUAACUCUGUGCCAGCCGCCGCGGUAAGAC
rnacentral:rRNA from 1 species